GGGUGCUAACACAUGCCAGUCGUUCGAGAAAGGGCUUUCGGGCCUGAGUAAAGUGGCGCACGGGUGAGUAACACGUGACUAACCUACCCUUGAGCGGGGGAUAACCUAGGGAAACCUGGGCUAAUACCGCAUAAUACCUACGGGUCAAAGCGAGCAAUCGCACUUAAGGAGGGGGUCGCGGCAGAUUAGCUAGUUGGUGAGGUAACGGCUCACCAAGGCGAUGAUCUGUAUCCGGCCUGAGAGGGCGCACGGACACACUGGAACUGAAACACGGUCCAGACUCCUACGGGAGGCAGCAGUGGGGAAUUUUGCGCAAUGGGGGAAACCCUGACGCAGCAACGCCGCGUGGAGGAUGAAAUCCCUUGGGAUGUAAACUCCUUUCGAUCGGGACGAUAAUGACGGUACCGGAAGAAGAAGCCCCGGCUAACUUCGUUGCCAGCAAGACGCGGUAAUACGAGGGGGGCAAGCGUGUUCGGAAUUAUUGGGCGUAAAGGGUGCGUAGGCGGUUUGAUAAGUCAUCUGUGAAAUCUACUGGGCUCAACCCAGAGUCUGCAGGCGAAACUGUCGGGCUUGAAGAGUGGGAGAGGUGAGUGGAUUUCCGGUGUAGCGGUGAAAUGCGUAGAUA
rnacentral:rRNA from 1 species